rnacentral:lncRNA from 1 species
AGUCUAGAAGCAGAUUCUGGGCCAGGGUCCACAUUUCAAACUAUGCCUGGAGGGACUAACACCUUCCUCAGAGCCUGUGUGCAGGGCUGGAAGGUCUGAUGAUUUUAUGGGCUGUCCUGACAGAGAUUAUUGGAGACUCCUUUGGUCUGCUGUUUUAUAACACUCCUAAACCCCCCCGAGUCUGAUGCAUGAGAGGAGUGGUUGUCUGGGAGGAUUUGGAGGAAGGCACAUGCAUGAAGACGAAUGGCCAUUUAAUUGCGAGUAAGAGAUGAAGAGAUGGGAGGAGGUUUGUCUGGGAGGAGGCAAUGAUCUGGUUAAUGAUUCUUUUGCUUCUAGAGGGAGAUUUUGGAACCACUGGGCAAUGCCUCUGGUACUCAUUGUUCUAUCAAACCUCAUCCUGGCCUGUGGCUUGGGCUCCAAACUUCCUCCCCUUGUCGUAUAGAGCAGGCAAGUUGCACAAUAUGUAUAUCAAACCCUGUCUCUCAGACCACACUUCCCUUUUGGUCCCCAGUGAGUAGAAGAAAUAACUCACUGUAGAAAUUGUUAUGCUGGGGGUGUGGCUUAGUGGUGACGAUACUGGUGAUGAUGUUGGCAAAGGAAAUGAACAAAGCAAAAGAGGAAGUCGGCAAAGCCAGGAUGGUGAUGGGCACUCUAGCUUUUGGGGAACUUUUCAGCUCUUGACACACUCAGCACUUUUAAGCUAUAAGGUUUCCUUUGUUCUGGCAUCUCACUCCUCCAAGAUGGAGGCAGGCAUUUCUUCAAAGCUGAAAGUGCCUUGGUACCUGUUUUACUUACUUUCUAUUGCUGUGAUAACUAUGAAUACUGUGCAGCCCAGACUGGCUUCAAGUACAUGACAAUUCUGCAUUUGUCUCCCAAGGACUGAGAUCACAGGCACGAGCUCCCAGGCCUGGUUGAUGUAUGUGUUCUACAUCUUCUUUACUUAUCCUCUUGCUCAGAACAGAGCUAAGCAAUGACUGUCCUCACUACUUUCUCCAGACCUUGUCUUAUUCCUUGAGUUGACGACUUAGCACAGGCCUUAGGGGUCUGUUCUUUCCCUCUCGUCUUUUCUGUCCUGGUUACUUUUAUGUCAACUAGACACAAGCUAGAAUCAUCAGAGAGAAGGGAGCCUUAACUGACAAAAUACAUCCAAAAGAUCUGUCUGUAGGCAAGCCUGUAGGAAAUUUUUAUUAAUUGGUAUUUAUUUGGGGAGGAACCAGCCUGUUGUGGGUGGUGCCAUCCCUGCGCUGGUGGUCCUGGGUUCUAUAAGAAAGUAGGCUGAGCAAGCCAUGAGGAGCAAGCCAGUGAGCAACACCCCUCCAUGAUCGCUGCAUCAGCUCCUGGUUCCAGGUUCCUGCCUUGCUUGAGUUCCUAUCCUGACUUCCUUUGAUGAUAAACUGUGAUGUGGAAAUAUACUCAGUGCUGGUGAGCUGGAGCUGAGAAAUUAGCAGUGACUAAGAAAAGUCCAGCAUUAUUGAGGUGAAAUCUUCUGGGAAGUGUUUUCUGAGAGCACACAGAAGCUGUGUUCCAGAGAUGGCCAAAGUUGUAUUUCUCCACCGGCAGCCAAAUUUGGUCAUGUGGAUGAGUCACCCAGGUGACACUGGUUCAUGGAAGAGCAGCUGAGUCUUGGCACUGACAAUACAGCCUCAGUGGCAGCUGAAGGCCCAGGAUUGAAAGGGUCAUGCAGAGCAGUUGAGGCUUGUCCCCAUGAAGAGAGCCCAGGAGAGUACUGGUAUAAGUGCAGCCCAGUCGCAGCAGAAGACCCCAGCAUUUUGGAGAUGCAAGUACCAUGGGAUGACCAUCAAGAACAGCAGCAGCAGUGGAGUGGAGCCAGCCAGAUCCUAAAAGACGAGCUGUUUGUGCUACAGAGGGCUGAACUGCAGAAGUUAACUCAAGCCCCUUAGAGGAGCCCAGAAGAUCUUGAGUGCAUCUCUGAUGUUGAAAGAUGCACUAUUUACACUUUUGGAGUUUGGUUUUGCUUUGCUUUGAUAGCGAUUUUGACCUAUUUCUUCUCUCUUGAAAUAUAAUUUAUUUUUGAUUUUACAGAAGUCCACAAGUUGAGAGACAGAAUUUUAAAAGACUUAAAUUUUAAAAAGAGAUUGAUUAUUUUAAAGAGAGAGAACUUUUAAUGUAUUUGAAUUUGUGAGGAUUGUGGGACCUUUAAGUUGUUAAUGUUUUAUAUUGUGAUAUAAAUAUUAACAUAACAUCUUGGGGAUAAAUGAGAAAAGAAAGGUUCUAAUUAAAAAGUGAUAUGUUGGGCCUUGAGCUCAGCAAUUUAGAGCACUGGCUGCUUAUCCAGAGGUCCUGAGUUCAAGUGCCAGCACCCACAUGGUGGCUAACAGUGUCUGUAACAGUAGUCCCAUUGGGAUUCAAUAUACUCUUCUAGUGUGUAGGAGUACAUGCAGACAAAAACACCCAUAUACAUAAAAUAUAUAAAUAAAUAAAUC